rnacentral:rRNA from 1 species
AUGGCCGGAAGCUCGGAUUAUCAGCCUUUUAACCUGGCAGCAAGAGUCGUAGGAAAGAGGCGACGACUCAUACCUGCCAAGUUGAAGUCGGCGAUACCCGCCAUUGCUCUGCUUCUGUCGGCGGUGGCCAUUGUUGGUGCCAUAACCCAGUACCACCGGAGCAUCACCUACUUCCUGCGGCCGCUGUGGGACACGCCGCCCAAGCCCUUCACCGUCAUCCCGCACUACUACGCCCCCAACACCUCCAUGGCCGAGCUGUGCGCGCUCCACGGCUGGCGCGCCCGCGCCUCCCCUCGCCGCGUCUUCGACGCCGUCCUCUUCAACAACGAGCUGGACAUCCUGGAGAUCCGGUACCGCGAGCUGCUCCCCUACGUCCACAAGCUGGUCAUCCUGGAGGCCAACGCCACCUUCACCGGCAUCCCCAAGCCGCUCUCCUUCGCCGAGAACCUGGAGCGCUUCGCGUUCGCGAGGUCCAAGAUCGUCUACGACAGGCUCCCCAUCGCCACACCGGGGUCAUCGCCAGGUCGCCGCCGGGAAGAGCCGUUCGACCUGGAAGCCAGGCACCGGCGCGCGCUGAACGCGCUGCUGCGGCGGUCGGGCGUCGCGGGCGGGGACGUGGUGAUCAUGGCGGACGCGGACGAGAUCCCGAGCCCGGAGACGGUGCAGCUGCUGCGGUGGUGCGACGGGGUGCCGCCGGUGAUGCACCUGCAGCUGGAGAACUACGUCUACUCCUUCGAGUUCCCCGUGGACCGCGGCAGCUGGAGGGCGACGGCGCACCUCUUCAGCGAGCGGCGCACGGCGUACCAGCACUCCCGGCAGAGCGACCUGAUGCUAGCGGACGCCGGGUGGCACUGCAGCUUCUGCUUCAGGGAGAUCGCCGAGUUUGCGUUCAAGAUGAAGGCGUACAGCCACGCGGACCGGGUGAGGCGGCAGAGCUUCCUCGACCCGGAGAGGAUCCAGCGGGUCGUAUGUGCCGCCGACGACCUGUUCGACAUGCUCCCCGAGGAGUACACCUUCAGGGAUCUCUUCACGAAGAUGGGGCCAAUACCCAGGUCGGCGUCGGCCAUGCACCUGCCUUCCUAUUUGAUCAAGAACGCACACAGAUUCAGGUUCUUGCUUCCUGGUGGAUGCUUGAGAUCAGGUUAA